UACAGAGGUCCCAAGCGUUGUUCGGAUUCACUGGGCGUAAAGGGUGCGUAGGUGGUUAGGUAAGUCUGAUGUGAAAGCUCUGGGCUCAACCCAGACAUGGCAUUGGAUACUAUCUGGCUAGAGGAAUGGAGGGGGGACUGGAAUACUUGGUGUAGCAGUGAAAUGCGUAGAUAUCAAGUGGAACACCAGUGGCGAAGGCGAGUCCCUGGACAUUUCCUGACACUGAGGCACGAAAGCUGGGGGAGCAAACAGG
rnacentral:rRNA from 1 species